UCUUUUACGAACAAUCCCGUCAGUUGCUGCAACGCGCUGAUGAAAUUGAAUCGAUGACGAAACGUAUUGGCAAAGGCUGGAACGUCCACUUGAACAUCGGGUUCGUGGGUUCAGUUCUGUACGACGCUUUACCUAAGCUUAUUGGGCAGUUCAGAACAGCUGCCCCUGCUGUCGAGGUUUCGCUUUUCGAAAUGACUACGCUCGAACAAGUGUCGGCCCUCAAAGAUGGGCGAAUUGAUAUUGGAUUUGGACGGAUCCGAU
rnacentral:misc_RNA from 1 species